CUGUUGAGCAGUAUGAAGCGAAGGUACAACUUCAUUUCUUGUAUACUUAAAUAUCAAAAAUAUGAUUUUGUUUGCAGCUAUGUGAACUGUGCCUUGCACAUUUGCUCUUUACGCAUUUUUUUGACCGUUAUUUAUUUUGUUUGAUGUAUGUAUAUUGUUGUCAUCUUAUGGCAUUUGGCUUGAGCUUAAUAGCUAUAGCUCGCUUAAUUUUAUUGGUAUACUUAAUGGAGAUAAAGUCAGAUUUGGUCUGAAGGAUGUUUUGGCAGGAUGAGGUUUUAAGGAGUAUGUCGUGUGCUUGACACCAUAGAACAUAAACAAUUCUUUCACAUGGUCUCUUGUGAAGAAUGAAGACCCUUUAGUUUACUUGUUCUUCUUCUCUCUCUCUAUUUUUUUUUUUUGUGCCUUUGUUCUUUCUUUUUAGGAUAGGUGUCAAAAUCUAAGAAGAUUGCUUGUGUUAUUUCCAAGAUUGGUCUCAGAAUUGAUGUGCUGGAUGAAACCAUCUUACUCAUCAUUGCAACUUGUUAUGUUUCAAACAUCUGAAUUAUUAUUCUUAUUUCAGUAUAUGUAUUGAUAUUCCAAAACUGGCCCUUAGAUUUUCUGAAAAUAGUGAGGUGGAAAGAAGCUGUGGGUGUGCUAUGACUUCUCUGCAUCUGUGUGCUUGAGAAAUAAAAUAUAAAAUUAUUCUUUUUAUGCCAAUAUAAAAUGAACAUCAUUCAUUUUUUGGCAUUAGAUCAGUGGAUAUCAAUGGAACCCCUAUCCUCAAGAAAGGAGAAAUGUUAACUCUCUUGGGUAACCUUUGGCAACCAGCUUUUUAUAAGUUCCUGAUGUGGUUGCUAGUUCAUGUCAAUGUUAGUAAGGCGAAAGGUGAUGGGGUACCCUAUGGACUUAGGCACAAGGUGUGGCGAGG
rnacentral:misc_RNA from 1 species